AGGAAAAAGCGGGGCGGAGGCGGGCAGGAGGGGAACCCCCUGCAAAGCGAGCCCCGCUCCUCCUCGCCCUCCUCUCCCUCCUCCCUCUCCAGAAACAGGGGCUGGUGUGGGUGGGGACUAAUCCCUUGGGGCAGGACCCUCCUCGCCGCUGUCAGGCAGAACGGGGCUGCGGGAAGCCGAAGGGGCUGCCUCUACGGCCCAGGAAGGCAGCUUGACACCGCUUUAACUGCUAUGGCUCAAUGCCAUGAAAUCCUGAACAUUGCAAUAUAAGAAGUGGGUUGCUGUGAGUUUUCCGGCCUGUAUGGCCAUGUUCCAGAAGCAUUAUCUCCUGACGUUUCGCCCAGGCAUCCUCAGAGUGAGAGAACACAUGGACUGGUUCCAGUUUGCAGUUAUCACCCUGUAAUUUAAAACCUGAAUGCCCCUAAGAAUUGGAAGAUGCCAUGGACAAGCAAGUAUGUCAUAUCAAAACACAGGCUGUUUAUCGCAAAUCUAGCUUUAAAAAAAAACAAAGAAAUUCGAGGCUUCUUUAUUUUUAAAAACUGUCUAAGGAAUUUUAGUCUCACUGGCAAGCUAGAAAUUUCCAAACUGAUUUUGUAUCUAAAUUACAAAAAUAUUUUAAAACUAAAGUAUUUUUCCAAAAAUAAUGAUUUGUAAGUGCUCACCCAACUAUCAAACAAAUGCAUGGAAUAACCGCACAUGGUCAUUGUUACUUGCAAAACAUACAGAUGCAUAUAUAUGUGUGUGUAUAUAAUGAGUCAAGUUGCAUUGAUAUGGCUGAUGAUUCUGAUCAUUUCUGGUGUUGGGACUGUUCAUUGUCAUCUUCAUCACUUCCUAAUGCUGCAUUAGUGUCCUUUUUGGUGGGAAACCAUCUUGCCUGAUUUACAGAUGUUGAAGUUUCAUUUUCUUUGAGUACUUUGCCUGUAUCUUCUGCUGACUCAAGCUGCUCUCGUUGAGAAGUGCCAUAACCAGCAACAUCCCUUAAGAAGGCCAUCCCAUCCUCUUUCUUGUGGGAGAUAAAAGGCAUUUCUUUUGAAUGCUUUCCACGUUCUGAAGAUUCACGCCCAAAUGGUGCUUGCUGUGGUAUCAACAAAUCAGUCGCACUCUCAAAGAUGUCAUCGUCAUCAUCUUCAUCAUCAUCCGCUUUCAUGUGUGAAAUAGAAGACAUUUUUCCUGACUGCUCUUUAUGUCUGGAAGUUCCACUUUGGAAUGGCACUUUUUUUGAUUUCAGGAAAUCAACUGCAUUAUGAAAAUGUUCCUCGUCGUCAUCAUCCUCCUCCUCAAAAUUGUCAUCUAAGAAAGCCACCCCAUCUUUUUUCCGGUGGGGAGUCAAAGACCUCCUCUCACCUUUAACUGAUGUUAGAUCAGAUAGACGUUCGAUUUGUUCUUCUUCAUCAUUAUCAUCACUAUCAUAGUCAUCUAAGAAAGAUACUCUACGUUCUGUUGGCUUUGGAGGCUCCAACAUUUCUGUUUUAAGGACUACUCCAUCUGGCCUCAAAUCUACUGUGGUCUCAAGAGGUUCUUCUUCUUCAUCUAAGAAUGCCACUCCAUCUUCUUUCCGGUGGAGAAGAUGUUCUGCUUGUUGUAUUAAAUCUAAAGUAUCCUCUUUUAGUGAUACAGCCUCUGGUACAGCUGGCUCUUGCAAUGGCCUUACUUCAGUUGUACCUUCAGGUUGUUUUUCUUCACUGCCAGCAUGGCUACUCAAGAGAGUCAAGUGAUCUUCUUUUUCACAGGGAGGAUACUCUACAAUUUGACUGUGAAGAGAGGCUGUCUUUGCAACUAGCUCUGGUACUGGUACUGCUCUCACAUCGGUUGUACUUUCUUUUUGUUGACGUGCCUCAGGAUGAAACACUUGAGGAACUGAGACACUUGUUUCUUCUGCUUUUUUGUGGUGUAUCACACGGUCUGAAGUUGUCUCUGACUUCAAUAUGCCUUUAAAUGAUUUCAUACUAAACCUUUUUGAAGUUUGGGACAUAAUGUCUUCAGGAGGUAACAUAAUUGAUCUUGUGUAUGAAGAUGUUAUACUCUGUAAGAAAACAAAUCAAAUUGUAAGAAUGGCAGAGGAAGACUGUGUGUUUCAUUAAAGUAUAAUUAAAUGUA